GGUUACGAUAAGUUGCUUGUUGUUUGUUGAAGUUGGUAAAAAAAAUGUUCGUCAAGGCAGUUUAGUUGUUCAAUUGUCAGUUGAUCUAAAACUUUACUGUUGUUCGAUUGUGCAAUUAGUUACCCCACUGUAAGUUACUCCUUUGUUGUUGUCCGAAUGAUAAGUUGUUCAAGUCUAUAGUUUUUGACCUUGUUGCAAAUUGUUAUUUGAUAUGUCUAUAUCCUUCAUUUCCUCAAAUAUUUCUAUUCUUCUCAAUCAGACAUUCCCAAACACCUUAUUCCACAAUUUCUGUUUCACUUUCAAAUUCUUUAGUCUCCUCAUGCAUUUUGUGUCCCUCCAACGCAUCUUCCGUACCAUUGCGCCACCAUUCCCUCACUCUUGACCCAAAUUCCAAAUGUUGCAGCCACAUGUUCUCAUUUCAGAAGGGAGUAAGACCCAAUCUAAUAUACUGGGAUUCAAGCAUAAGGGAAGUUAUGCCGUACAUGUUGUGGGAGGAUUUCUUGUAUUAUAUCAGGGAACCUAUCCUUUCGAUGUGUAGAGAUUAAAAACUGGUCUAAGCGUGAUGAAAUUGUCCUUCAACAGUCAACUGAUCAAGUAAAUUAGUCAUUUGCUAAAGAGAGGUCUUUAUUUUCUCCCUAAGCCUCUCAUGCGUAAAUCUAAAAGCAUUGAGAUCCCCUCUUAGACAUUGAAACAUAUUGCAAAGACCUAACAGAUAGGACGAUUCCUCCCACCGUAAACCCUAAAAUCUAUAUCUUGUUGGCUUGUAUACACCGGUGAACCACCAACUUUUCUUUCCUUUUACAUCUAGAAGUAACGACAAUGAGAAUGUUCCUCAAAUAUGUCCACUCCUGAUGCAAAUCUAAUAUCCCAGAUGAUUAGGAUGCUCCGCCAAACACCUAGUGAUGGUAAGAUUUCCUUAAACAGAUUUUCCCACACACUUUGGGCUAGAAGACUGCGAUCUCUUCUUUUUUCGUUUAAUGAAUCAUUACACUAUUUGAAUUCGCCCUUGCUAAAAGUUUUN
rnacentral:lncRNA from 1 species